CCAAUAGCGUAUAUUAAAGUUGUUGCAGUUAAAAAGCUCGUAGUUGAAUUUCGGGGUCAGCAGGUUGGUCGUGCCAAUGGUAUGCACUGGCCUUGCUGAUUCCUCCCUCUUGAUGAGCCGUAAUGUCAUUAAUUUGGUGUUGCGGGGAAUCAGGACUGUUACUUUGAAAAAAUUAGAGUGUUUAAAGCAGGCAAGCGCUUGAAUACAUUAGCAUGGAAUAAUGAAAUAGGACGUUUGAUCCUAUUUUGUUGGUUUCUAGGAUUGACGUAAUGAUUAAUAGGGAUAGUUGGGGGCAUUAGUAUUCAAUUGUCAGAGGUGAAAUUCUUGGAUUUAUUGAAGACUGACUACUGCGAAAGCAUUUGCCAAGGAUGUUUUCAUUAAUCAAGAACGAAAGUUAGGGGAUCGAAGACGAUCAGAUACCGUCGUAGUCUUAACCAUAAACUAUGCCGACUAGGGAUCGGAUGAUGUUAAUUUUUUAAUGACUCAUUCGGCGCCUUACG
rnacentral:rRNA from 1 species